GCGCUUGUAGCCCAAUUGGAUAGAGCGUUGGCCUCCGAAGCCAAAGGCUGAGGGUUCGACCCCCUCCAAGCGCG
rnacentral:tRNA from 1 species